GAUGAACGCUUGCGGCAGGCUUAAUACAUGCAAGCCGGACGGUAACAGGGUCUUCGGACUGCUGACGAGUGGCGGAUGGGUGAGUAACGCGUAUGCAACCUUCCUCACACCGAGAAAAAGUCGACUGAAAAGUUGAAUAAAGUCUCGUGGUGUGCAUUUCUCGCAUGAGAGAUGUAUGAUAGAAGCAAUUUGGUGUGAGAUGGGCAUGCGUAUCAUUAGCUAGUUGGUAAGGUAACGGCUUACCAAGGCGACGAUGAUUAGGGGGCCUGAGAGGGUGGUCCCCCACACUGGGACUGAGACACGGCCCAGACUCCUACGGGAGGCAGCAGUAGGGAAUAUUGGUCAAUGGGCGGAAGCCUGAACCAGCCAUGCCGCGUGAUGGACGACGGCCUUAGGGUUGUAAACAUCUUUUCUGCUAGAGGAAUAGAGUUCACGUGUGGACAGACGACUGUAUAGCAGGAAUAAGGAUCGGCUAACUCCGUGCCAGCAGCCGCGGUAAUACGGAGGAUUCGAGCGUUAUCCGGAUUUACUGGGUUUAAAGGGUGCGCAGGCGGGCUCUUAAGUCAGCGGUGAAAUGUCUGGGCUUACCCUAGGAAUUGCCGUUGAUACUGGGAGUCUUGGAUAAGCAUAAGGACGGCGGAAUGCGUAGUGUAGCGGUGAAAUGCUUAGAUAUUACGUAGAAGACCAAUUGCGAAGGCAGCUGUCUGGGUCUUUAUCGACGCUCAAGCACGAAAGCGUGGGGAGCAAACAGG
rnacentral:rRNA from 1 species